AGGCUUUGAUCCUGGCUCAGAUUGAACGCUGGCGGCAUGCUUUACACAUGCAAGUCGAACGGUAACAGGCCGCAAGGUGCUGACGAGUGGCGAACGGGUGAGUAAUGCAUCGGAACGUGCCCGGUCGUGGGGGAUAACACUUCGAAAGAAGUGCUAAUACCGCAUACGAUCUAUGGAUGAAAGCGGGGGACCGUAAGGCCUCGCGCGAUCGGAGCGGCCGAUGUCAGAUUAGGUAGUUGGUGGGGUAAAGGCCUACCAAGCCAACGAUCUGUAGCUGGUCUGAGAGGACGACCAGCCACACUGGGACUGAGACACGGCCCAGACUCCUACGGGAGGCAGCAGUGGGGAAUUUUGGACAAUGGGCGCAAGCCUGAUCCAGCAAUGCCGCGUGCAGGAAGAAGGCCUUCGGGUUGUAAACUGCUUUUGUACGGAACGAAAAGUUCUGGGUUAAUACCCUGGGGCGAUGACGGUACCGUAAUGAAUAGCACCGGCGUAAAUCGUC
rnacentral:rRNA from 1 species